rnacentral:rRNA from 1 species
GAUGAACGCUAGCGGCAGGCCUAACACAUGCAAGUCGAGGGAGAAGCCCUUUCGGGGGCAGAAACCGGCGCACGGGUGCGUAACGCGUAUGCAACCUACCUUUCACAGGGGGAUAGCCCGAAGAAAUUUGGAUUAAUACCCCAUAAUAUUAUUGGAUGGCAUCAUUUGAUAAUUAAAACUGCGGUGGUGAAAGAUGGGCAUGCGUCCUAUUAGCUAGUUGGAGUGGUAACGGCACCCCAAGGCUACGAUAGGUAGGGGUCCUGAGAGGGAGAUCCCCCACACUGGUACUGAGACAGGGACCAGACUGCUACGGGAGGCAGCAGUGAGGAAUAUUGGUCAAUGGUCGGAAGACUGAACCAGCCAUGCCGCGUGCAGGAAGAAUGCCUUAUGGGUUGUAAACUGCUUUUAUAGGGGAAGAAUAAGGCGUACGUGUACGUUGAUGACGGUACCAUAUGAAUAAGCAUCGGCUAACUCCGUG